rnacentral:rRNA from 1 species
AUACAGAGGGUGCAAGCGUUAAUCGGAAUUACUGGGCGUAAAGCGCGCGUAGGCGGUUUGUUAAGUUGGAUGUGAAAGCCCCGGGCUUAACCUGGGAGGGUCAUUCAAAACUGGCAGACUAGAGUGUGGUAGAGGGUAGUGGAAUUCCUAGUGUAGCGGUGAAAUGCGUAGAGAUUAGGAGGAACACCAGUGGCGAAGGCGACUGCCUGGACCAACACUGACGCUGAGGUACGAAAGCGUGGGUAGCGAACAGGAUUAGAAACCCCAGUAGUCC